rnacentral:rRNA from 1 species
GACGAACGCUGGCGGCGUGCCUAAUACAUGCAAGUCGAACGAGAGCGACCGGUGCUUGCACUGGUCAAUCUAGUGGCGAACGGGUGAGUAACACGUGGGUAACCUGCCCAUCAGAGGGGGAUAACAUCCGGAAACGGAUGCUAAAACCGCAUAGGUCUUCGAGCCGCAUGGCUUGAAGAGGAAAAGAGGCGCAAGCUUCUGCUGAUGGAUGGACCCGCGGUGCAUUAGCUAGUUGGUGAGGUAACGGCUCACCAAGGCCGUGAUGCAUAGCCGACCUGAGAGGGUGAUCGGCCACAUUGGGACUGAGACACGGCCCAAACUCCUACGGGAGGCAGCAGUAGGGAAUCUUCCGCAAUGGACGCAAGUCUGACGGAGCAACGCCGCGUGAGUGAAGAAGGUUUUCGGAUCGUAAAACUCUGUUGUUAGAGAAGAACAAGUGCUAGAG